rnacentral:tRNA from 1 species
GCCGGUGUGGUGAAACCGGAAGACACGCAUGGUUUAGAGCCAUGUGCCGCAAGGCGUAGAGGUUCGAAUCCUCUCACCGGCA